ensembl:lncRNA
UCCAGGGUAGGAGAGAGAAGGUUGCAUCUGGGGACAGAGCCAAGGGCAAGAAAUGCAAGUUAUUCCCAAAGGGAAGCUGACUGGUUGGGUCUGGAUCCAAGCCAGCUCCUCCCUCUCGGACAAUGGAGCAGAACAGGGCUGCUAAUAACUGAGUAGUAGGAGAGGGUCCAGUAUCCCAGGGAGAGGAGGCUCUGCCAAAGGCUUGUGGGGCCGGAGACUGGCAGCUUCCUCCUUCACUCUGGAAGCCAGUAGGUGGGGCCAGCAGCACAGAUUCCCAGUCCCUGAAGCAGGUUCCCCUUCAACCUCAUUCUCUUAUCUGAAGCCCUCCUCCCCAACAGCAGGAAGGACUCUCCAGUGCCGCCCCGGGCCCUCCUGCCCUCGGGGUGUAGGAAAGCUGCCUCGGUCACUAGCUGCGCCAGUCCUUCUGCCGUGUCUGGGACAGUCCCUUUCCAGGUGAAUGUCCACCAGUGUGACUGGUUAGCUGGCCUCUGCUAAGGGCACUGUGCAUAACCUAAGUUCCUGUAACAACCUUGCUAUUCUGAGCCCCACUUCACGCACGAGGAAACAGAGGAUUCGGACAACAGCUCGGGGGCCAAGGGAGUCCCAGAUGGAGAAUCCCCACGGGGCGCGGGUCUGCGGCUGCGAAACAGCCCUCCUUCCCGGACGCCUGGAACUCGGGAGUGGCCUUUCCGGGGGACCCCCGCCCCCAACACAUGCACCCACGCUCCCGACCUGCGACCUCCCCUCGCAGCCCGGGCAUUGCCCUCCAGCCUCUCGCUCCGCUGAGAAGCAGCCCGGCGCCUUUAAGGGCCGCCCGCUUACCUUUGCUCCGGUCCGGGCGCCGCGGUCACCCCGCUCCGACCUCGUCCCCGGCGCCGCCAGCCGCGCCGCACCCGCAGACUCACCGCGCGUCCUGGGUCGCGGCGCGCCCGCUCCCGCCAGCCACUGCCGGGCUCCCGGGGGCUGAGCGCCGUGCCCUGCGCCCUGCCGGGGUCCCUGCCGGGGUCCCUGCCGGGCUCCGGGCGCUUCCUGCACUCCAGAAAGGGAUCGAACUUGUCGGAACCACUGAGCUAAAUCCCUGGCUCUUCUUCUAUACUUUGUGCCAGGCACUGCUGCUCAACCAGAUCAACCCGAAGUUUGGCAAACCGGCUUCUCUCCGGAGUUCAGAACACCUUUGGUGGCCUCUGCUGCCACCUGCUGGCCACAGCGGGGUAGACUGGUUUGUGGGUGUUUUCAGGCGUUCCUCUUUUUCUGUCUGCAUGAUGUCAUCCUCCCCUGUGGCCGUGGGACCAUCUACAUGCUGUUGACUCCCAAAUCUUUCCGUCUUCUGAGAUCCUGGUCUGUGUAUCUGGAUGCAAACGUCUCUGACCCUCCAGUCCCCUGACACCCCUCAAGUGACAAGGGUUCCUAAAAGGCAGAGCUGGAACCAGGCCCCAGGUCUCCCAGCUGCUGACUCAACCUUCACAUUUCCAACAGUGCAGCACCAGACACGGGCACAGUGACUGCCAGAGAAGGAAGAGAUAAAGAUCAGUGCUGGCUGGUGGCAGAGGCAGGAUUUGAACUCCAAUCAGAGUAGCGACCAAGCCAGGUUCUUUCUCUAGCACACUGUGACACUGCUGGAGGCAUGUCGGCUUCUAAAACACACAGCUAAGGAGUAUGGGCCAACAGAAGGACCCUGGCCAGGCACAGUGGCUGGACACAGGCUUGUGGCGAAAGUGUCGCUGGAAGGGGCGGGCGCUGACUUCCGUGCCAGGUUGCGGAAACUGAAUGGGUCCCAUGGACGAGAAAAGAUGAGGGCAGAGGGCGGGAAGAAGGAAUGGAACAAGGAAAAGGGACAAAGAAGGAACAAUCGGACUGAGGAGCUGAAGCAUGAUGGAGACAGAUUCCUACACCUUACACCACGGAGCAGGGUGGGACAUCAUAGCCUGCCACCUGUGUGUACCUUGCAAGUUAAGGAUGGUUCUCUCUCCCUCUCUCUCUCUCUCUCUCUCUCUCUCUCUCUCUCUCUCUCUCUCGUGCUGGGGAUUGAGCCCAGGGCUUCAUACAAGGUUUUUCACUUUUUAAAAAAAUUUUUUUUAUUUUUUGGUACCAGGGAUCGAACUUGGGUCCUUGCGCUUGCGCGGCAGGUGGCGAAACCACGAAGCUAAAUCCCGGGUCCUUGUUUUUCACUUUUAAAUGCUUGAAAAAAAUACAAAAGAAAAAUCAUUUCAAAUGAUGCAUGAAAAUGAUGUGAAAUUGCAAUUUCAGUUUAUUUCUAUAAAUAAAGUUUUAUUGAAAC